rnacentral:rRNA from 1 species
AACGAACGCUGGCGGCAGGCCUAACACAUGCAAGUCGAGCGAAGUCUUCGGACUUAGCGGCGGACGGGUGAGUAACGCGUGGGAACGUGCCCUUUGGUUCGGAAUAGCCCCGGGAAACUGGGAGUAAUACCGGAUAAGCUCUACGGAGGAAAGAUUUAUCGCCAAAGGAUCGGCCCGCGUUGGAUUAGGUAGUUGGUGGGGUAAUGGCCUACCAAGCCGACGAUCCAUAGCUGGUUUGAGAGGAUGAUCAGCCACACUGGGACUGAGACACGGCCCAGACUCCUACGGGAGGCAGCAGUGGGGAAUCUUAGACAAUGGGGGAAACCCUGAUCUAGCCAUGCCGCGUGAUCGAUGAAGGCCUUAGGGUUGUAAAGAUCUUUCAGUGGGGAAGAUAAUGACUGUACCCACAGAAGAAGCCCCGGCUAACUCCGUGCCAGCAGCCGCGGUAACAC